CUCGGGAAAGCUGAAGGCGGGGGACAGGAGAACUUGCCUGCUGCGCAGAAGAGCUGAGGGAGAAAAGGGCCUGCGUGGGGGGAGCAAGGCGGACAGCCUGGAUCAAGAUACAGCCUGGACUUGGCAAAAAGCUGUGGAGUACAGAGUUGAGUCGUAAAGGUCAUGAUCUCACCACCAGAGUGGAAUGAAGCCAUUAACAGAGCUUGACAUUGAUUCCAGGGGUGACGCGCUAAAAGACGGACCUCAGUUCUUGUCUUCUUUGAAGAAAGAAUUUGGCCGAGACUGUGAAAAAGACGAAAGCAUUUAUUAGAAGCAAAGUAUGUCUGAAGAAACAAAGUGCGUGGAAGAGCAGGCAGGGAAGAAGUCAGCUGGUGUAAGUACUAGCAGCUUAAACUUUGAUGAAAGCCUCUGUCAAACAAGAAAAGCUUUUGGGGCAAUUAAUACCACGUUCUUU